rnacentral:rRNA from 1 species
UACGUAGGUGGCAAGCGUUGUCCGGAAUUAUUGGGCGUAAAGCGCGCGCAGGCGGUUCCUUAAGUCUGAUGUGAAAGCCCACGGCUCAACCGUGGAGGGUCAUUGGAAACUGGGGGACUUGAGUGCAGAAGAGGAGAGCGGAAUUCCACGUGUAGCGGUGAAAUUCGUAGAUAUUCGGAAGAACACCAGUGGCGAAGGCGGCUCACUGGACGCGUAUUGACGCUGAGGUACGAAAGCGUGGGGAGCAAACAGG